rnacentral:rRNA from 1 species
UACGAAGGGGGCUAGCGUUGCUCGGAAUCACUGGGCGUAAAGGGUGCGUAGGCGGGUUUUAAGUCAGGGGUGAAAUCCUGGAGCUCAACUCCAGAACUGCCCUUGAUACUGGACGAUCUCGAGUUCCGGGAGAGGUGAGUGGAACUGCGAGUGUAGAGGUGAAAUUCGUAGAUAUUCGCAAGAACACCAGUGGCGAAGGCGGCUCACUG